rnacentral:misc_RNA from 1 species
AACGCACAUUGCGCCUUCCGGUAUUCCGGGAGGCACGCCUGUUCGAGCGCCAUUACAAACUCCAAGCUUGGCUUGAUGUUGGACGCAGGCGGUCUCCCCGCGAGACUGCCCGUCUGGAACGCCUGGGCGCCCGCCGCCGGACCACGAGCGUAGCAAGACUUUCAGUCCUUUCGCUGAGUGGCUCCGACGGCAGGCCGGCCUCACACAAACUUUUAUUACAGUUUGGCCUCGAAUCAGGUGGGGAUACCCGCUGAACUUAA